rnacentral:rRNA from 1 species
UGGGGAAUAUUGGACAAUGGGCGCAAGCCUGAUCCAGCCAUGCCGCGUGGAUGAUGAAGGCCCUAGGGUUGUAAAGUCCUUUUAACGGGGAAGAUAAUGACGGUACCCGUAGAAUAAGCCCCGGCUAACUUCGUGCCAGCAGCCGCGGUAAUACGAAGGGGGCUAGCGUUGCUCGGAAUUACUGGGCGUAAAGCGCACGUAGGCGGGUCGAUAAGUCGGGGGCGAAAUCCUGGAGCUCAACUCCAGAACU